rnacentral:rRNA from 1 species
UACAGAGGGUGCGAGCGUUGUUCGGAAUUAUUGGGCGUAAAGAGCUCGUAGGCGGUCUGUUGCGUCGGCUGUGAAAACCCGGGGCUCAACCCCGGGCCUGCAGCCGAUACGGGCAGACUAGAGUUCGGCAGGGGAGACUGGAAUUCCUGGUGUAGCGGUGAAAUGCGCAGAUAUCAGGAGGAACACCGGUGGCGAAGGCGGGUCUCUGGGCCGAUACUGACGCUGAGGAGCGAAAGCGUGGGGAGCGAACAGG